CAGUUUUACAGCCUGUUCGACGCGACUGCCGAGUAAAUACCGCGCCGCGGAUCCGCAGGCAUAAAAAUAUAUAUUACUGACGGCGUAAAACGACGGUCCGGGAUCCGGUUUAUUGGAAGGGAAGGUGUGGCUGGAGCUGUCGAGUAUAUUACACUGCAGACACGCCCGCUGCCCAGUCCCCCACUCCACAAUCCGCGCAGGGUUUUCCUUCUCUCCCCACCUAAUGCUUAGGACCAGCACCAGUUCUCCCAGAUCUUCAUACGAGACUAUUUAUUUCAUAAAUAUAUAGUAUAUGCAGCUCUGGGACCACUUAAGAAUAAUGAGUUACUUUGAUUUUACCAAAUUAAAAAUCUCUGGAAUAUAAUCAAUUGGAAGAUGGAUGAUCAUAAGCCAUUAAACUAAGCUAAACUGCUUGACUUUUUGCACCAGGAGUGGCAUCUAAAAGCAGUGUGUAAGACUGGUGGAGGAGAACAUGCCAAGAUGCAUGAAAACUGUGAUUAAAAACCAGGGUUAUUCCACCAAAUAUUGAUUUCUGAAUUCUUGAAACUUUAUGAAUAUGAACUUGUUUUCUUUGCAUUAUUUGAGGUCAGAAAGUUCUGCAUCUUUUUUGUUAUUUCGACCAUUUCUCAUUUUCUGCAAAUAAAUGCUCUAAAUUACAUUAUUUUUAUUUGGAAUUUGAGAAAAAUAUUAUUCGUAGUUUAUAUUAUAGUUUAUAUUAUAGUUUAUUUAUAUGUUUUUACUCAAACAUAUAAAUACCAAAACCAGAGAAACUGAUUCAGAAACUGAAGUGGUCUCUUAAUUUUUUUCCAGAGCUGUAUGUCGAAUAUGACAAAAUAAGGUGUGCAAUAAUUAGGUUGUAUUUUAAAAUAUGUUAUUGUUAUUAUUAUUAUUAUUAUUAUUAUUAUUAUUAUUAUUAUUAUUAUUAUUAAUAAAAUAUCCUCUAAAUUUAAAGGGAAUAUAAAUAUAUAAAGUAUAUAUAUAUAAAGUAUAUAUUAGGUCACUCGAUGCCCUGACUGUAACAAAGAUCAAAAGCAAACAUCAAAAGAACCCAGAAAAAAGAUUUGUAAGUUCUGGCACACAUACAGCAUGCAGGUCAGAACCAGCCAGACACAGUUUUUAAUCUGGCCAAGAAGGUAAAUGUUCUCAACUGUGACUGAUAUUAACAUAUAAGAUACAAAGCCUAGGCUAUAAGAAGAAUAGGGUGAUUCCUCUGUGGACUUUUUUUUGCUUGGCACAGUCUAAUGAGGCUUUGUUGUUAUUACACACAUGAUGUGGCCAAGGCUAUAUUUAUGUAUUUAUUUUGACAGAACCAAAAACUUUAUUGUUACAUGAAAUGAGUUUUACGCCUGGUUUAACCUAGACCCAGAGACCCAGACUGACAACUAAACUUAACUUUAAACUUAACUUAACGUUUAAAAAUGAUCCUUGCCAUGCAUAUAGGAUCAAAAGGACUCAAUCAGUUCAACAAAUGUUUAGCUUUCUACAGUAAGUAAAUAACCUGGCCCAUGUUUCUGUUUGGACUGGCUGUAAAACCUUUCAGUUGGGAUGCCCGCCUCUUGUUUUUGAUCAAUUGAAUGUAAUGUUGUCAUGUGACCACUAGAUGGUAUAGGCAGUGUCCCCAAAAAAUAUCAUGGUGCAGAGUGCAGAAAUGCAAUGUAACUCAUGUGGACACUAAUACUAAUACUAAUUUGUGGACACUAAAUACUAAUUUCCACCUGUACUAAAAAAAUAUAAGUAUACUUUCCCUUUUUUUUUUACUCUGCAGGCUGCAGAGUAUUGUAUUGUUAUCCCUGUGUAUGUUUUGUUUAUUUUCGACUUUUGCCUUGCCUUUAUGACCCCUGUCAUAUACUGACCUUAAACUUAAUUGUUUACCCUGGUAAAUCUAGCCCCUUAUGUUUAUGCUUUUUGUUGCUGACCCUGCCUGUCUGUGUUUACUAUGUUGCAUGUUAUUCAGUAAAGCCACUUCUGUAUAUCCACAGUCUUAUCCUGGUCUGGCUAUGACAUUUUUUGUGUUUUUCCAAUGCAAAUAAAAUAAAUAUACACAUGAGUACCAGUGCAUUUGUA